rnacentral:rRNA from 1 species
UACGUAGGGUCCGAGCGUUGUCCGGAAUUAUUGGGCGUAAAGAGCUCGUAGGCGGUUUGUCGCGUCUGCUGUGAAAUCCCAGGGCUUAACCCUGGGCCUGCAGUGGGUACGGGCAAACUAGAGUGCGGUAGGGGAGAUCGGAAUUCCUGGUGUAGCGGUGAAAUGCGCAGAUAUCAGGAGGAACAUCAGUGGCGAAGGCGGCCAUCUGGGACAACACUGACGCUGAAGCACGAAAGCGUGGGGAGCAAACAGG